GCUCAGGAUGAACGCUAGCUACAGGCUUAACACAUGCAAGUCGAGGGGUAGCAGGGUAGCAAUACCGCUGACGACCGGCGCACGGGUGAGUAACACGUAUCCAACCUUCCCAUUACUCGGGGAUAGCCUUUCGAAAGAAAGAUUAAUACCCGAUAGUACUUUUUCGAGGCAUCUCGUAAAAAGUUAAAGAUUUAUUGGUAAUGGAUGGGGAUGCGUUCCAUUAGAUUGUUGGUGAGGUAACGGCUCACCAAGUCUUCGAUGGAUAGGGGUUCUGAGAGGAAGGUCCCCCACAUUGGUACUGAGACACGGACCAAACUCCUACGGGAGGCAGCAGUGAGGAAUAUUGGUCAAUGGGCGAGAGCCUGAACCAGCCAA
rnacentral:rRNA from 1 species